rnacentral:rRNA from 1 species
UACGUAGGGGGCUAGCGUUGUCCGGAUUCAUUGGGCGUAAAGGGUGCGUAGGCGGCGCGGUAAGUCAGGUGUCAAAUCCUCAGGCUCAACCUGGGGCUCCACCUGAUACUGCUGUGGCUAGAGUCCGGUAGGGGAGCGUGGAAUUCCUGGUGUAGCGGUGAAAUGCGCAGAUAUCAGGAGGAACACCAGCGGCGAAGGCGGCGCUCUGGGCCGGAACUGACGCUGAGGAGCGAAAGCGUGGGUAGCAAACAGG